rnacentral:rRNA from 1 species
UACGUAGGGGUCGAGCGUUGUCCGGAGUUACUGGGCGUAAAGCGCACGCAGGCGGUCUGCUAAGUUUGGAGUGACAGUUGGUGGCUUAACUGCCAAAGUGCUUCGAAAACUGACAGACUUGAGGGCUUCAGAGGGACACGGAAUUCCGGGUGGAGUGGUGAAAUGCGUAGAGAUCCGGAGGAACACCAAAGGCGAAGGCAGUGUCCUGGGGAGUACCUGACGCUCAGGUGCGAAAGCCAGGGGAGCGAACGGG